rnacentral:rRNA from 1 species
GUUGAGCGCUGGCGGCGUGCCUAAUACAUGCAAGUCGAGCGAACAGACGAGGAGCUUGCUCCUCUGACGUUAGCGGCGGACGGGUGAGUAACACGUGGAUAACCUACCUAUAAGACUGGGAUAACUUCGGGAAACCGGAGCUAAUACCGGAUAAUAUAUUGAACCGCAUGGUUCAAUAGUGAAAGACGGUUUUGCUGUCACUUAUAGAUGGAUCCGCGCCGCAUUAGCUAGUUGGUAAGGUAACGGCUUACCAAGGCGACGAUGCGUAGCCGACCUGAGAGGGUGAUCGGCCACACUGGAACUGAGACACGGUCCAGACUCCUACGGGAGGCAGCAGUAGGGAAUCUUCCGCAAUGGGCGAAAGCCUGACGGAGCAACGCCGCGUGAGUGAUGAAGGUCUUCGGAUCGUAAAACUCUGUUAUUAGGGAAGAACAAAUGUGUAAGUAACUAUGCACGUCUUGACGGUACCUAAUCAGAAAGCCACGGCUAACUACGUG